CUUCCUGUCAAUUUGCGGCCGUGUUGCUCGCAAUUGCAUAGGAAAUGCCGUAUUUUUAUUAAAAAAUAAACUUUUGAACGGUAUAGCGAAGUGUUUGUGAGUAAAAAUGUAAGUAGAUAAUACGAUGCCAAUAAUUUUGGGAGAAAAAAAGUUGGAGCGCAUAAGAGCUGCUGCUACGGAAUGUGUAAAAGUAGUAGUCGCAGUAAAGCAAUUUUUAUUUUAUUUCAAUCCUAAACCAUGCCUACAAUUUCGAAAGGCAGAAAUUAAUAAUACGAGUAUCAAAUUCCACUUAAAACGCCUGAAGCGUGCAGGAAAUGCAAUAAAUGGGUGAAGUUGUGUGAACGUAAAGAUUCCAAGUUAAAAUCAACCAGGAACGUCACAAAAGAUGAAUCUAUUUGUUCUUUACACUUCUCUGGAGAAUCUGGACCUACAGAAGAGCACCUAAAUUCGAUAGAAUGUCGACCGAAAACUAUAAAAGAGAUAGUAAAAAAAGCCUAGAAGGAGCUCAGAGCAAAAGUACACUAGAAUUUCUUAUUGAAUUCUGAGGAAUCAACUUCAAGUUUUUUCGCUGGAGAAAAAAGAGCGGAGAAACAAAUUCAACUGAUGUAGAAUUCAAUGAAGUCGAAGCAUUAUCUGAUUUUGAGCCAACUUUUUCUUCUGAGAUGCAGGGCAUGGGCAUGGAAUCUCUCUUUACCUCACUUUUGUCUCCCGUACUAUUUGUUAUGUAAAUUAAUGAAGGAAUAAAACAAUCUUUCGUAAUA